rnacentral:lncRNA from 1 species
UCUGACAUAUAUUUAGAUAACCCACUCAUGACUGAUCCAUACAAAUUGAACAACAAGAUUCAAUUACAUGGGAAAAUAACAACUACAAGAACUAACAACAUCAAAUAUCUAAGACUUCAAUCUUCAUUCUUCACUGCUCCGUGCAGGCAUAUAGUAAGUCGACAGUUCCUCAACCUGAACAUUAGACAAGUGGAAACAUUAGUAAGCUACCAUUGGCAAGUGGAAACAUUACUUAAGAUUAAAAAAUAAGAUGAUGGUUGAGGAUGGCAAAUUACCAUUGGCCUGCCUAGAAGCACAUCUUGCUAAAUGAGCAUGUAGAUGUGAGCUUCCAUACUUUGGAUCUCCACAAAAUAGCCCGUGACACCAUACACAUUCAGCCUUCCAUUUUUCCUCAACAAGAACCCUAUUGAACUCAUUCCAAAC